rnacentral:misc_RNA from 1 species
ACAAACUUGGUCAUUUAGAGGAAGUAAAAGUCGUAACAAGGUUUCCGUAGGUGAACCUGCGGAAGGAUCAUUACCGAGAUAGGGUCCCUCACGGGGCCCGACCUCCAACCCUUUGUCAAAAUAACCUUUGUUGCCUCGGUGGGCCGUCGAAAGCCUGUAACAGGGCCUAGCCGUCGGUUCCCAGGAGCCCCCGAGUGCCCGCCGAAGGACCACAUUAAACCCCCUUUGAAUCAAGUCAUUCUGAGUGACAUUAUAAUACUUCAAAACUUUCAACAACGGAUCUCUUGGUUCUGGCAUCGAUGAAGAACGCAGC